AAACUAAACAGCAUUCUGCAACCUGUUUGACCCGCGAGGACUGGUAAGAAAUUGGUUUCAGAGAGUACAGUGGUAGGUGCAAGUUUGAAGCUAUCUGUUUUUUCUUUUGUGCUCUGCUUUUACUUUCUGUAAACAUUAAUACAGCUGUUGUCCUUACCAAAAAGAAAAACAGCUGCUGUGGCAUAGAGGAGGGAGAGGGUUUCAAAACUGGCACAAAGGCUCCUAUUGAACGGGCGUAUGAGCUCACUUUUACUUAUUAACCGGACAAGGUCCACUUAUGAGGUCUAUAAUUGUCAUCCUGUUGUUUGAUUGGUAAUGAUAUUUGAUUUCUGAUUCAAGAUGCAGGCAGCCCUUUAAUGCUCCUUAGGAAUGAGUACAGUUUCUCUCCUCCGUCGUCGCUGUCCAGCGGUUUCUCCUAGAGCAUCCAACUGUACGGCGCCACCGCCUCGGUGGCGUAGCCAUGGGCUCCACAGGCGGUGACCACGAGAGGCCGGCGAGGCAUUCGGUCGAACAUCUGGUGGGC
rnacentral:lncRNA from 1 species